rnacentral:rRNA from 1 species
CACGUAGGGGGCAAGCGUUGUCCGGAUUUAUUGGGCGUAAAGAGCUCGUAGGCGGUUCGGCAAGUCGGGUGUGAAACCCCCCAGGCUCAACCUGGGGACGCCACCCGAUACUGCUGUGACUUGAGUCCGGUAGGGGAGCGUGGAAUUCCUGGUGUAGCGGUGAAAUGCGCAGAUAUCAGGAGGAACACCAGCGGCGAAGGCGGCGCUCUGGGCCGGAACUGACGCUGAGGAGCGAAAGCGUGGGUAGCAAACAGG